UACGUAGGUGGCAAGCGUUGUCCGGAUUUACUGGGCGUAAAGAGCGUGUAGGCGGCCAGGUAGGUCUGCUGUGAAAACUCGAGGCUCAACCUCGAGAUGUCGGCGGAAACCAUCUGGCUAGAGUCCGGAAGAGGAGAGUGGAAUUCCUGGUGUAGCGGUGAAAUGCGCAGAUAUCAGGAAGAACACCCGUGGCGAAGGCGGUUCUCUGGGCCUGUA
rnacentral:rRNA from 1 species